rnacentral:tRNA from 1 species
GGGGCCGUGGUCUAGCCUGGUAGGAUGCGCGGCUUGGGCCCGCGAGACCCCGGGUUCAAAUCCCGGCGGCCCCA